UAUAAAUGAGGAAUUGGGGUAGUACUGUUUUAUUUGUGCAGCUUUGUUUCCUGAAGAACUUGGACUUCGUGAUAAGGCUGGAGAACUGUUGUGUGACAUGUACCUGCAGAUACGAAGCUAAAAAAAUGGGAACUGAAGCAGCUAAAAUAUCAGAGUAAUCCAAUUUGUUCACAAAGGUGAUUUAGAUUUUUCUGCUUGGGAAGUCUCUACUGAUUAAGAUGAGUGUGAAGAGUGGAUGUUGUACUUGGAGCUGGAAACUUCAUGUACUACUACAAGGAUGCAUCUUUGCAGUGCCUGGAAAAAGUGGUGAGCCUUGAAACAGCAUUUGCCAUCUCUAAAAAAGGUGUGUUUGUCUAUGGGAGAGAAGUACAGGCAAUUCUGAUAAAAAGGUCUAGAGCCCACCUGAAU